CAGAUUAUAGAUAGAUAGAAAAUUUUAUUUACAAUAAAAUUAAAAUUGUGCGAGUCAAUUAAAUCUGA
rnacentral:tRNA from 1 species